rnacentral:lncRNA from 1 species
AAGAUGUAGAGGCAGGAAGAAAAAUGGCUGUUUUUUCCAAGUGACAAUGUUUAUUUACACUGAUAGGUUACAUUAGGUAAUUAGGACCAUAAUUACAUUUUUAUUGCUUAGAGUACCAGUAACAUUGUUUAUUCUGCAGUUAUAUUCCACAGUUACAAUAUGCAAAGUCAGGAGCUUUGUGCAGCUCUCAAGAAAUUCAUUGACUAAAGUAACUUUUAAGCGGGCAGAUCCAGGAACAAGGGAGCUUAUUGAAACAUUGUAGUUAUCCCAGCAAGCAAGUUCCUUUAUUCCCAGGAAUUAUAUGCCUAAAAUCAAGGUUGAGACUGAGAAGAUUCUAACACAGAGCUUCUUCAUAAGGGACAUUGCUACAGCAGAGAGGCAUCCCAUGGCUUUACAAAAAUAUUUUAGCAGCCAGGCAUUUUGUGUCUUUACAGAGAAACUUCCUAGCAGCCAGGCUUUCUGUGCCUUUGCAGAGAAACUUUCUACCUAGCAAGCAUGCCACAAUCAUGAAGUUUAUCAGAGACCCCAAUCCCAAACACAGAACCCUCAUAGAUGAGCCCUGUGAUGAUUUACUAAAAGAAAGAACAGGGGGGCUGGGGAUGUGUCUCAAGCGAUAGCGCGCUCACCUGGCAUGCGUGCGGCCCGGGUUCCAUCCUCAUUACCACAUACAAAGAUGUUGUGUCCGCCGAUAGCUAAAAAAUAAAUAUUAAAAUUCUCUCUCUCUCUCUCCCUCUCUCCCUCUCUCCCUCUCUCUUUAAAAAAAAAAAGAAAGAAAGAACAGAGGCAGUGGAUUAGACUUACACUUUUAGCUUGUCUUUUUGUUUCAUUUUUAUAAUAAUAUUAUAUAUAUGUAGAUAUAGAUAGAUGGAUAGAUAGAUAUUGAAGCUUAUAAAGCUUAAAUAUUGUGUGCCAUUUUAGUUUUUGUUCUUUAUUGAAAUAUCAUUAAUGUGUGUUUAAGGAAUGCAAUGAUUAUAUAUAUAUAUAUACAUACAUACAUACACACACACACAUAUACACACACAUAUAUGUGUAUACAUACAUAUAUACACAUAUAUGUCUAUGUUUGUUUAUAUAUAUAUAUAUAUAUAAAUGAUCAUCACAAAGUAGUUAUCAUUUUCACUUCACAGAGAUUCCUUUUGGAAUCUUCAUGUCUUUUUUUUUUAACUCUGCAUUUUUUCUCCCCCUCUCCUAUUUUCUCCUCACUCUUUUAAUAUCUAGAACAUUCCAGGUCACUUGCAUAUAUAGUGAAAUUUAGAACAUCACUGUGCAUGCACAGAGAAAGCACCAUCUUAGGAGAGACUGAGAAGACUUUAAUUUUAAAUCUUGGGUUCUUCCCUAUCUGUUAGAAGACAUACCAUAACUAUAAAAAAAUGGAAAUAGAAAAAUCUAAAUUCCAGACCUAACAUAUUCAAGUGUCUCAUUUCCUAUCAUUUCAGUUUCUCUGUCUCAUACUGUGUGUUUCUUUUUGCCUCAUCUUGUCUUUAUCUGCUGUCUCUUUGUACAUGUGUAUGCUUUUAUAUAAAAUAAAUUUAAUCUUAAUAAAAUCUGUCAUUUUUAAGGAAAUGUUAAAAUAUGAUACUGAGACUACUAAAAUUGUCCUUUUAGAAACUUUUCAUAUUUUCUUCAUUAUUUCCUUUGAAAAUCCAUUCUGAAUUUACAUAUCCAUGAUGUGGGUGAGGAUUGAUGUUUUCCUGUUCCAAGUACACUUCAGGUUCAAGUAAUUCAGGCUAAGCACACUUCAGGUUCCAGUGAAAGUGUCUAGUUGCACUUUCUUUCCCUCUCUCUCUCAUUUCUCCCCCAAGUCUAUACCCCCAUCCUCAGGGACCACUUUCCCAUGAAACACUGAGUACACUCUACCUCUGUGCUCAUGCUUGGAAAUCUCUGGCAAUCCCACAAAGCAGCACCUAAAUCAUUCUUGGGGACAAACUCUACCUUGAGCCCCUGUGCUUAGAGGAAUAUUUGUUGUCAUGAUUUACCAUGGUGAAUGCCAGCAGAGCCUGAAGACCUCGGGCAAUAUCUGUUCUUCUCAAGACUGCUGUCAGAAUCCUGGACAUGUAUCUCUUCUCUGCCAUCAUCUCUUCCUCAUAACUCACAACAGGGUGUUCUUUCCAUAUGAUUCCCAGGCAUCUGUGUACACCAGCUCCUGGUCACAUUUUCUAAGGGACUUCUCCAAGCAAUGGAAGCAUUGCUAGUUCUGUUCUCACCCAGCCUUGUCCUGCUACUGGCCCUGUCCGCACCUGACUCUUCUCCUUGGCCAGGUAUCCACCAUGAAGAUCUUCCUACCACAGUAACCCUGAACUCUGGAGGAGGCCGUCUGGGCCACUGUGAGACCUUUUUUAAAAAAAAAAAAAAACUUGGUUCAGUCAUUGAGUCCUCUUAAUGUCCUUUGGGAUCCCCUAUAUGCAGUGUGUACAUCACACAGGACAUUUUAGGGGCCAGUAUGUAAAGAAGCCCAGAUCUUCUUCCCACAUCAUUGGCUCAGGCUCACUGUAUUAUCCAACACAAAGGAGGACAGUGGGAAAACAGUUGAUAAGCAAAUGCUAACAACCCAUCCAACAGGUCUGUGACCCCUGAGGCUUCACCCAAAGAGAGUAUGUAUGGAGAGGAGAGAGAAAUCAGAGGAAAAAUAAAAUAAAAUAAAAAAAGAUGGUACCAGUUCAGCCCAGCUCUGCCAUGGACUAACAUGGCAGUUUGCACUCAUAUGCUAAAUCUCCUGAAGCUUUUGUAUAUCAGGUUACAUGAAGCUAAAAUGAAUAGAUCAGUAAUUGUGAUGAGGACUGAUUGAAGAAAUGCAUAGAUGUGUGAGCUUUAAAUGAAUAAAUACCAGCUUGCAGAAACUUUAAGCCAUGCGAGGACUCUGAUAGUGUGAGGCAGGACAUGAGACAAAGCUGAUUAUUCCUGCUUGUGGGAGAAGUGUUCUUCAAGAGGUAUCCAGUCUCCUAUGGAUACCACGCCCAAAGCCAGAAGGAUGUGCUCAGCGUGUGGUCCCCGUGUUCCAGCUCUGCAGCUUGAAGGGCCCUGUGUUCCAGUUCCCUCUUUCUCACAAAAGAGGGAGAAUCCCAGUCCAGCUUUGCCCAGAUCUAAACAGCUUUCCACACCCUCAAAACAAGGGGAACUGGCAAGGUACAGAGCUGGCCUUGGCUGGACAGAGACCUUGGACAUUUUCAUGGAAAGGGAGUAAAGGUUUGUUUGUGGUUGUGAGUGUUUCCUAUUGGUUCUAACUGUGGAUUCUAGGAGGCCUCCAGUUCAGCUCAAAAUCAAUCUGGGGGCAAACAGAGCUGAAUGUGAUCCCUAGAAGCAGAAACGUGAAGUACUGAGGAUGACUGAGGGGACUCAGAGAGAAGGAGUUCACACUUAGAGAAUAUUUCACAUUGAUUUAUUUUCAUUCUCUGUGACAUGCAUGUAGUAGAAUAAAUUUAUUUUAAAAUUAUAAUAAUUAGCGUACCAUAGGAAUAUGUGGAAAAUAGAAGUAGAGGGAUAUAAUUUAAAAAAAAGUUAAAAUGUUUUUUUGUUUUGUUUUGUUUUUUAAGAUAGUAGAAUUUUAAUCAAUGACCAUGGUGGCUUUUUAUCUGUUUUGAGUUUUCUAUGAUGAAAUAAAAUAUUAUACCAUAUAUUUGACAAUUAUUUUACCCUUUGAAUUUUAGAUUAAAAAAAUUAUGAUUCAUAUCAGAAAGAAUUGGAAAUGCACUUGAAUUCUUCAUAUUAUUUAAUUUUACUAAUAUUUUAAACUCAGAAUUUUAUAAAGCAAAUAUGAUGACUUUACUAAAGCAUGUAAUUAUAGUUUGAGGACAUUUCUUAGAUUAAUAAGUGAGAAUAAUUUCCAGUAACUCAGGAGGAGAACUUCUUCCUGUUUAAAAAUAGUUUUCCUAAUUCUUCCUUCAAAAUGACAAAAACAGUAUUUCCAUAAAGUUAUUACUUGAUAGAUGAAUGGGAAAUAAUAACUCUGUUGAACUUUAAUAAAUUUUAUACAAAUGUUGUCCUAGUUAUAGCAGUUUGGCAUCUUCUCUAAUAUUACCUUGAAUGAUAAAAAAAAAAAAAAAAAACAAUGUUAGCUAAUUAGGAUUUUGAAUAACAGAGAAAUUAGGAAGUGGGAAGCAGGAUUUCAUUUCCUUAUUCCUACAGAGAGGGCAGCUGAACCCCAGGCUUCCACUGAUAGAAACCUUGAGUUAAGUUGCUGAAUAGUGUGAGGACAGACACAUACAAUUGUUGAAUCAGUGCUACUAUGACCAGUUUUAUUUCUUUUUUAUGUGUGCCAUAGCAUUUACAGCCUUGAGAGAAUGAUAGUAAAUUUUCAAAAUUAAUCUCAAAAAUUUCCCUUUGUUAUACUUUAUUUUGGUGUCUAACACACUGAAAACUUGCCUAUUUUGUUCACAAAUUAACAGUGUGGGUUGCCUUGCUAUAUUUUCUGCAAUCUACCUUAGAGACUCUUUGUAUAUUGAAAUUCUUAUUUGAAGAUAGCUGUUAAUUCUCAAGAGUUUAAUGAAGCCCAAGUUUAAUCAAGUACUACUAACUGACUGACUGUCAUCAGACGAGAAAGAUUGUUGCUUACUAAUUGUUUGAUUUCUAAAAUCCAUUGUUUACAUUCAUAAAAUUUAUUUUUCAUUUUUUCUCAUUCUAUUAAAGCUUUGAGUCAAUG